rnacentral:rRNA from 1 species
UACGUAGGGGGCGAGCGUUGUCCGGAUUUACUGGGCGUAAAGAGCGCGCAGGCGGUCGUACAAGUCGCGUGUGAAAGCCCCUGGCUCAACUGGGGAGGGUCACGCGAUACUGUUCGACUUGAAGGCAGGAGAGGGAAGUGGAAUUCCCGGUGUAGUGGUGAAAUGCGUAGAUAUCGGGAGGAACACCAGUGGCGAAGGCGACUUCCUGGCCUGUUCUUGACGCUGAGGCGCGAAAGCUAGGGUAGCAAACGGG